UACGUAGGGGGCAAGCGUUAUCCGGAUUUACUGGGUGUAAAGGGAGCGUAGGUGGCAUGGCAAGUCAGAAGUGAAAGCCCAGGGCUCAACCCUGGGACUGCUUUUGAAACUGUCAAGCUAGAGUGCAGGAGAGGUAAGUGGAAUUCCUAGUGUAGCGGUGAAAUGCGUAGAUAUUAGGAGGAACACCAGUGGCGAAGGCGGCUUACUGGACUGUAACUGACACUGAGGCUCGAAAGCGUGGGGAGCAAAC
rnacentral:rRNA from 1 species